UAAUUUUGCUUCUUUAAAUUUAAGAAAGUGUUUUAGUCGUGAAUACGUGUAUAUAGAAAAAUGCAUAAGCCUUGCUCAUCAAAAAUAAAACAUUUUCCAAGUUAUAAUUAAGAAGAAACAAACGUAAGCAACAUUGCAUUCCACAUACUUACAAGCCACCGGAAGCGCCUUCCUUUGUUUCCGGCUGAGAUGUUCAAUUUCAAUUUUCAAGCAGCCAUCGUGUCAGCUUCUAAUCUUGGAAGAAAUAUCAAAUUAAAACCCUGCAAUGCCUUCAAAACCAUUUGUGCCUGUAGCACCAACUUUUCAGCGGGAUCACCGCAUAUUUACGGCCAAUGCAAAUGUGUGGGCCACCCGAAAAUGGUAUAUAAACGUAUGGUGGCAAGCGCUCACUUUGUG